GACGAACGCUGGCGGCGUGCUUAACACAUGCAAGUCGAACGGAAAGGCCCUGCUUUUGUGGGGUGCUCGAGUGGCGCACGGGUGAGUAAAACGUGAGUAACCUGCCCUUGACUUUGGGAUAACUUCAGGAAACUGGGGCUAAAACCGGGUAGGAGCUCCUGCUGCAUGGGGUGGGUUGGAAAGUUUCGGCGGUUGGGGAUGGACUAGCGGCUUAUCAGCUUGUUGGUGGGGUAGUGGCUUACCAAGGCUUUGAAGGGUAGCCGGCCUGAGAGGGUGACCGGCGACAUUGGGACUGAGAUACGGCCCAGACUCCUACGGGAGGCAGCAGGGGGGAAUAUUGCACAAUGGGCGGAAGCCUGAUGCAGCAACGCCGCGUGCGGGAUGACGGCCUUCGGGUUGUAAACCGCUUUCGCCUGUGACGAAGCGUGAGUGACGGUAAUGGGUAAAGAAGCACCGGCUAACUACGUG
rnacentral:rRNA from 1 species